UGAGGAAUCUUGCACAAUGGGCGAAAGCCUGAUGCAGCGACGCCGCGUGAGGGACGAAGGCCUUCGGGUUGUAAACCUCUGUCAGUAGGGAAGAAGAUUGACGGUACCUACUGAGGAAGCUUCGGCUAACUACGUGCCAGCAGCCGCGGUAAUACGUAGGAAGCAAGCGUUGCCCGGAAUUACUGGGCGUAAAGAGCUCGUAGGCGGGGGCGUGCGUCCGAGAAGAAAUCUCAAGGCUCAACCUUGGGGCUAUCUCGGAUACGGCGCUUCUUGAGGGUGAGAGAGGAAAGCGGAAUUCCAGGUGUAGCGGUGAAAUGCGUAGAUAUCUGGAGGAACACCAGCGGCGAAGGCGGCUUUCUGGCUCAUUCCUGACGCUGAGGAGCGAAAGCGUGGGUAGCGAACGGG
rnacentral:rRNA from 1 species